rnacentral:misc_RNA from 1 species
GACGUAGGGGGCGAGCGUUAUCCGGAUUCACUGGGCGUAAAGGGCGCGUAGGCGGCUGCGCAAGUCGGGCGUGAAAUCCCUCGGCUCAACUGAGGAAUUGCGUCCGAUACUGCGCUGGCUAGAGGACGGUAGAGGCCAGCGGAACUAGCGGUGUAGCGGUGAAAUGCGCAGAUAUCGCUAGGAACGCCGGUGGCGAAGGCGGCUGGCUGGGCCGUUCCUGACGCUGAGGCGCGAAAGCUGGGGGAGCAAACAGG